rnacentral:rRNA from 1 species
GGCUGUCGUCAGCUCGUGCCGUGAGGUGUUGGGUUAAGUCCCGCAACGAGCGCAACCCCUAUCUUUAGUUGCCAUCAGGUAAUGCUGGGAACUCUAAAGAAACUGCCGUCGUAAGACGUGAGGAAGGAGGGGAUGAUGUCAAGUCAUCAUGGCCUUUAUGCCCAGGGCUACACACGUGCUACAAUGGGGGGGACAAAGGGCUGCCACUUAGCGAUAAGGAGCUAAUCCCAAAAACCCUCUCUCAGUUCAGAUUGGAGUCUGCAACUCGACUCCAUGAAGCUGGAAUCACUAGUAAUCGUAUAUCAGCAAUGAUACGGUGAAUACGUUCCCGGACCUUGCACACACCGCCCGUCAAGCCAUGGAAGCUGGGUGUACCUAAAGUCGGUAACCGCAAGGAGCCGCCUAGGGUAAAACUAGUGACUGGGGCUAAGUCGUAACAAGGUAGCCGUACCGGAAGGUGCGGCUGGAAUACCUCCUUU